GACGAACGCUGGCGGCGUGCUUAACACAUGCAAGUCGAGCGGUAAGGCCCCUUCGGGGUACGACGAGCGGCGAACGGGUGAGUAACACGUGGGUGACCUGCCCUCAGCUCUGGGAUAAGCCUGGGAAACGUGGGUCUAAUACCGGAUAUGACUCCAUGACGCAUGUCGUGGGGUGGAAAGCCUUGUGCGGCUGGGGAUGGGCCCGCGGCCUAUCAGCUUGUUGGUGGGGUGAUGGCCUACCAAGGCGACGACGGGUAGCCGGCCUGAGAGGGCGACCGGCCACACUGGGACUGAGACACGGCCCAGACUCCUACGGGAGGCAGCAGUGGGGAAUCUUGCGCAAUGGGCGAAAGCCUGACGCAGCGACGCCGCGUGAGGGAUGACGGCCU
rnacentral:rRNA from 1 species